rnacentral:rRNA from 1 species
CAGCCCUAAACGAUGCGCGUUAGGUGUAUCGGUGACCACGAGUCACCGAGGUGCCGAAGGGAAACCGUGAAACGUGCCGCCUGGGAAGUACGGUCGCAAGGCUGAAACUUAAAGGAAUUGGCGGGGGAGCACCACAACAGGUGGAGCCUGCGGUUUAAUUGGACUCAACGCCGGAAAUCUCACCGGAUAAGACAGCAGAAUGAUUGCCGGGCUGAAGACUCUGCAUGACUAGCUGAGAGGUGGUGCAUGGCGUCAGUGACU